CCCUUAGACGUUCUGGGCCGCACGCGCGCUACACUGACGAAGGCAACGAGCUUUCCUUUACCGAAAGGUACGGGUAAUCUUUUGAAACUUCGUCGUGCUGGGGAUAGAUCCUUGCAAUUUUUGAUCUUAAACGAGGAAUGCCUAGUAAGCGCAAGUCAUCAACUUGCGUUGAUUACGUCCCUGCCCUUUGUACACACCGCCCGUCGCUACGACCGAUUGAAUGGUUUAGUGAGGCCUUCGGAUCCGCGACUCGUUUGUGGAGAAGUUGGACAAACUCAGUCAUUUAGAGGAAGUAAAAGUCGUAACA
rnacentral:rRNA from 1 species